UGACCCCAGGUUAGGCGGGGCUACCCGCUAAGUUUAAGCAUAUCAAUAAGCGGAGGACAAUAAACUUACGAGGACUCCCUUAGUAACAGCGAGCGAACCGAGAAGAUCCAGCUUGAGAAUCGGGUGGCUUUAUCGUUUGAAUUGUAGUCUGUAGAAGCGUCCUCAGUGGUAGACAGGGCCCAAGUCCCCUGGAAGGGGGUGCCAGAGAGGGUGAGAGCCCCAUCAUGUCUAGACCUUAUCACACCACGAGGCACUAUCGGCGAGUCGGGUUGUUUGGGAAUGCAGCCCCAAUUGAGUGGUAAAUUUCGUCCAAGGCUAAAUAUGGGCGAGAGACUGAUAACAAACAAGUACCGCAAGGGAAAGAUGAAAAGGACUUUGAAAAGAGAGUCAAAGAAUGCUUGAAAUUGUCAGGAGAGAAGUGGAUGGGGGCCGGUGAUGCAUCUCAGACGGAUGUGGAACAGUUAAUAGCCGCUUCAUCGGUCGACUCGAGGCGUGGACUGAUGUGGAUUGCGAUGGCAUCCCAAGCCCAGGUUGUCACGUUAUACCUGAGGAGAUGUCGUCGCUGCGAUCAUGGUAGGCAGUGUGCGCCUGGAUGGUAUGCCUAUUGGCAAUUGCAUGCUUCGAGCAUCAGCCUGUCGGGAUCCUCAUUUGACCUGUCUUGAAACACGGACAAAGGAGUCUGACAUGUGUGCGAGUCAAUGGGCGAGCAAAACCCGUAAGGUGUAAGGAAGCUGACUGGUGGGAUCCCCUUGUGGGUUGCCCACCGACCAACCUUGGUCUACUAUGAAGGGUUUGAGUGAGCGCAUACCUGUCGGGACCCGAAAGAUGGUGAACUAUGCUUGAGUGGGGAGAAGCCAGAGGAAAUUCUGGUGGAGGCCUGCAGUGAUGCUGACAUGCAAAUCGUUCAUCUGACUUGGGUAUAGGGGCCAAAGACUAAUCAAACUGUCUAAUAGUUGGUUCCCUCCGAAGUUUCCCUCAGGAUAGUUAAAACCCACGGGCGAGUUUUAUCGGGUAAAGCCAAUGAUUAGUGGCAUCGCGGGCACAACGCCCUCGACCUAUUCUCAAACUUUAAAUAGGUAGGAUGGCAUGGCUACUUUAUUGAGCCGCGCCAUGGAAUCAAGAUCUCCAAGUGGGCCAUUUUUGGUAAGCAGAACUGGUGAUGCGGAAUGAACCGAAAGCCGGGUUAUGGUGCCAGAUUGCACACUAACCAAGAACCAACAAAGGAUGUUGGUCGAUUAAGAUAGCAGGACGGUGGUCAUGGAAGUCAAAAUUCGCUAAGGAGUGUGUAACAACUCACCUGCCAAAUCAACUAGCCCCCAAAAAUGGAUGGUACUAAAGCGCGUAACCUAUACCUGAUCGUCGGGGCAACUGCCAAGCCCAAAUGAGCAUGAGGGCACGGCGAUUGUCGUAAAACUUGGGGCGUGAGUGGCCGUCGGUGCAGAUCUUGGUGGUAGUAGCAAAUAUUCAAAUGAGAACUUUGAAGGCCGAAUAGGGGAAAGGUUCCUUGUGAACGGCACUUGCACAUGGGUUAGUCGAUCCUAAGGGAUGGGGGAAGCCCGUCAGAGAGCGUGUACUCAUGCAUGCUCUGAAAGGUAAUCGGGUUAAAAUUCCCAAAUCGGUACGUGGCGGUUGACGUCAACGUUAGGAAGUCUAGAGAUGUUGGCGGGGGCCUCGGGAAGAGUUAUCUUUUCUGUUUAACAGCUUGCCCACUCUGGAAAGAGCACCACACAUCGCGUGGUGUCCGGUGUGCCCCCAACAGCCCUUGAAAAUUCAAAGAACCGAGUGUCGAUCAUGCCCAGUCGUACUCAUAACCGCAUCAGGUCUCCAAGGUGAACAACCUCUGGUCGAUGGAACAAUGUAGGCAAAGGAAGUCAGAAAAAUGGAUCUGUAACCUCGGGAAAAGGAUUGGCUCUGAGGGUUUGGCACGGGGGUCCCAUUCUCGAACCCGUCGACUGUCAGCGGACUGCUCGAGCUACCUUCACAGUGAGAGUGGGUCACCACAUGCCGAUCGGGGGAUGGACUGGGAAUGGCCCCCUCAUGGGCCUUCUCCGGGCAUCAAACAAUCAACUCAGAACUAGUACGGACAAGGGGAUUCUGACUAUUUAAUUAAAACAAAGCAUUGCGAUGGUCCCAACUGAUGCUCACGCAAAGUGAUUUCUACCCAGUGCUCUAAAUGUCAAAGUGAAGAAAUUCAACCAAGCUCGGGGAAAAUGGCAGGAGUAACUAUGACUCUCUUAAGGUAGGCAAAUGCCUUGUCAUCUAAUUAGUGACGCACAUAAAUGGAUUAAUGAGAUUCCCACUAUCCCUGUCUACUAUCCAGCGAAACCACAGCCAAGGGAAUGGGCUUGGCAGAAUCAGAGGGGAAAGAAGACCUUGUUGAGCUUGACUCUAGUCUGACUUUGUGAAAUGACUUGACAGGUGUAGGAUAAGUGGGAGCUAGAAAUGGCAUAAGUGAAAUACCACUACUUUUAACGUUAUUUUACUUACUCCGUGAGUCGGAGGUGGGGCUCUGCCCCUCCUUUUGGACCCAAGCCCCCCCUUAGCGGGGCGAUCCAAGCAGAGGACAUUGUCAGGUGGGGAGUUUGGCUAGGGUGGCACAUCUGUUAAAAGAUAACACAGGUGUCCUAAGAUGAGCUCAACGAGAACAUAAAUCUCGUAUGGAACAAAAGGGUAAAAGCUCGUUUGAUUCUGAUUUCCAGUAUGAAUACGAACUGUGAAAGUGUGGCCUAUCGAUCCUUUAGACCUUCGGAAUUUGAAGCUAGAGGUGUCAGAAAAGUUACCACAGGGAUAACUGGCUUGUGGCAGCCAAGCGUUCAUAGCGACAUUGCUUUUUGAUACUUCGAUGUCGGCUCUUCCUAUCAUUGUGAACCAGAAGUCACCAAGUGUUGGAUUGUUCACCCACCAAUAGGGAACGUGAGCUAGGUUUAAACUGUCAUGAGAUAGGUUAGUUUUACCCUACUAAUGUCAGUGUCGAAUUAGUAAUUCAACCUAAUACGAGAGGAACCAUUGAUUCACAUAAUUGGUCAUCAUGCUUGGUUGAAAAUUUAGUGGCGCAAAGCUGCCAUGCGCCGGAUUAUGACUGAACGCCUCUAAGUCAGAAUCCAAGCUAAAGAAGCGACACCUAUGCCUAUUGCUCAUUUGCCAACCCGCAGUAGGGGCCCUCCGGCCCUUAGAGGCACGUGUCAUUAGCCAAGCCCCCGCAGUGGACGUGUUAUAUGGGCUGCCUUGAAGAGUAAUUCCUGUCGGGUGAUGGGUAGAGUCCUUUGCAAAUGACUUAAAUACACGACGGGGUAUUGUAAGUGGCAGAGUGGCCUUGCUGCCACGAUCCACUGAGAUUCAGCCCUGUGUCGCAUCGAUUCGU